AUGCUCAUCCCCAAUUGCUUCGGAAAUGGUUGUAGGUUCUAUUUGUGAAACAAAAGCCAUAUGUCCUACAGUGUCUUUAAGAAGGUUUCGAGUACUUAUCCCUUUCUCGAUGUUGCCAAUUACCUUGUCGAGAGGAUGAUCUUUAGACGUCCUCCAAGCCUUAGGCAUCAUCGAUUCUUCCUCUAGUGGUGGUUCUUCUUCCGAUGAUUGUUCCACAACUUCAUCUUGAACUU
rnacentral:lncRNA from 1 species